UACGUAGGUGGCAAGCGUUGUCCGGAUUUAUUGGGCGUAAAGAGCGUGUAGGCGGCCAGGUAGGUCUGGUGUGAAAACUCGAGGCUUAACCUCGAGAUGUCAUCGGAAACCAUUUGGCUAGAGUCCGGAAGAGGAGAGUGGAAUUCCUGGUGUAGCGGUGAAAUGCGCAGAUAUCAGGAAGAACACCAAUGGCGAAAGCAGCUCUCUGGGACGGUACUGACGCUGAGACGCGAAAGCGUGGGGAGCGAACAGG
rnacentral:rRNA from 1 species